GUGGCAGCCGCCGCGGUAAUACAUAGGGGGCAAGCGUUAUCCGGAAUUAUUGGGCGUAAAGCGCGCGUAGGUGGUUCGUUAAGUUGGAUGUGAAAUCCCCGGGCUUAACCUGGGAACUGCGUUUGUGACUGCAAGGCUAGAGUACGGCAGAGGGGGGUGGAAUUCCACGUGUAGCAGUGAAAUGCGUAGAUAUGUGGAGGAACACCGAUGGCGAAGGCUGCCCCCUGGGCCUGUACUGACGCUCAUGCACGAAAGCGUGGGGAGCAAACAGGAUUAGAUACCCUGGUAGUCCACACCGUAA
rnacentral:rRNA from 1 species